rnacentral:rRNA from 1 species
UCUUCUUGAAACCCCGAUGCUCAACUGCGGGCUUGCAGGCGAUACGGGCAGACUUGAGUACUGCAGGGGAGACUGGAAUUCCUGGUGUAGCGGUGAAAUGCGCAGAUAUCAGGAGGAACACCGGUGGCGAAGGCGGGUCUCUGGGCAGUAACUGACGCUGAGGAGCGAAAGCGUGGGUAGCGAACAGGAUUAGAUACCCUGGUAGUCCACGCCGUAAACGGUGGGCGCUAGGUGUGGGUUUCCUUCCACGGGAUCCGUGCCGUAGCUAACGCAUUAAGCGCCCCGCCUGGGGAGUACGGCCGCAAGGCUAAAACUCAAAGGAAUUGACGGGGGGCCCGCACAAGCGGCGGAGCAUGUGGAUUAAUUCGAUGCAACGCGAAGAACCUUACCUGGGUUUGACAUACACCGGACCGCCCCAGGAGAUGGGGGUUUCCCCUUGUGGUCGGUGUACAGGUGGUGCAUGGCUGUCGUCAACUCGUGUCGUGAGAUGUUGGUUAAGUCCCGGCAACGAGCGCAACCUUGUCUGUGUUGCAGCAAGUAAGUUGG